AUGUUGCCGCUUGUCUCCUCUCCUAUCUCUCUUUGCUUCAUGUAUGGCUUGGAUCUCGCCAUCAGGCAUUCUCCCUUCCUCCCCGUGGACGCAACGACACCGCUGUUCAAGGAUGAGCUAGGUGCUGCAACUAGGCUGCAAACUGCUACAAGUGGAUGCUGCAGGCAGUGUUCGAUGUUGCAAGACAACCACCGGUGUACUUCUAUCUGCUGCAAAAGUGGACUGCUGUUGCGAGGGGCUAACAACCAACGGUGCUGUGAGGCCUUGAAACCUGAGAAGAUGAAGGUAGUUGUUGUAGCUUUUGAGGAUCUAACAAUCUUGGAGAAGAUUGAGGAUGAUGCUAGACUAAGAGCAUGUCUAACAGAGCCCUCAAAAACUCAACCUUCAAAACCAGUUUGA
rnacentral:rRNA from 1 species